ensembl:ncRNA E02A10.6 ncRNA
ACGGAAAAAACUACAAAACAACAGAAAAAAUAGAAAAUCAUUUUUUAUUCUGAACUUUUUUAAUUAAAAGUUAUAAAAUAAUUCAGAAAACUGGCUGAAAUUUACAGAACAGAAAAAAAACCUAUUCAAAUAUUAUCUAAUUUUCUGAC